rnacentral:lncRNA from 1 species
UAGAGCCCCUGGACUGAUUUAGUGCAGAUGUCGCAAUAAUGUUCUGGUCCUUUGAAGACUAGCUGGAGCUCGUGCUGUGGAUGCAUAUAGUUGUGGAGGGUAGGAGGACACGAGGCACAGUGGUCGUGAAGAUGGUAGUCACACUUGGCGCAGUAGUACGUCUUUCCAGAGUCGAGAAGGUUGUAGCGGACCCAGCCAAAAGUUUUACCCAGUGCAAAAAAAUACACUUGUGGGGAAUUGAACCCUCAACCUCAUGGUUAUAGGGUAUAUCUUAUAACCACUGAACCAAUUGCAUCAAUGUAUAUAAUGCAAAAUCACAACAAUUUAUAUAUUACCCGGUGCAACUGCACCCCUUUCCACCAACGUGGGUCCACCCCUGGUUGCAGCCAUUGCAUUUGAAGGGACCAGAGGUAACCAACUUUAAUGGGUGGAUAUGGUUGAAGUGUUGUAGUACUUCUUGUUCUGGCUUCGACGAAGACAUUUCGUUCUUUCUUUUUUCCUUGAUAAUUGUUAAGAUUUGCGAGAGUGAGUGGUGGUUUUAUAGGCAACAAUUAUCAAGGAAGAAAAAAAAACAACCGGUUAAUAUGGUCCAUACGGACACAAUCCCAUGCAAAAUUCUAGUAGGCCAAAAUUCUUGUGGUUGACUUGAAAAAUCAACGGUUAUCCAGUCCUGUUUCAGCUCACUGCCUCACCAAUUAGAAAACUAUCUCGAACCGAACUAGCUAGAUAACCAUUGAUUGGUAGUACGUGCCUUCCAAUAUAUUUUUCACAUCGAUAACUUCAGGAAAUGUUAAAAACUCUCUGUAUUUGGUUGGCUCUUUUUAGACGACUCUGACUCUGUGGCUUAUUAGACGACUGACUUUGUGAAAAGCACAAAUAUUGUAGUGUAGCCAAAAGCCAAAUUAAAAUUUUAAAUUAGGGCUAAUUACUCAAAUACUCCUUGGAAACGUGACAGCUUAUGCUGAUGUCAUUCUUCUACUACGAGAUUCUAGUUUAAAAUCACAUUCAUGCAGUAGCAUACUUAAUUCAUAAUGAUUCUAAAUUUAGUUAAUAUUUUCGGAUUUAUUAAAUCAUACAAGAUAUAAAUACCUCUAUGUUUUAUCUCAAAUAAAUUCAACUGGUCACUGUUAAAUUUAUCGGUUAAGCUGUGUUGGGUUCAUGAAAAGUGUCGUUCUUUAGUUCAGUUUGAUACUUGUGUGAGGCAGCUUUGAUUUUUAUGGGACUUGAAGAAAAAAAAGUUAUGUUCUUGCUUAUGCCUUAUGUAUCACAAUGGGUUCCCUAACAAUGUUCAUCUUUGGUUUGCCUAACGUACGUAUUUAGCAUGCGGUUAAGACCUUGUUAGUCCGGAUGUCUGUUUCUGUACUGACGAGUAGUAGUUUAGGAGUAGAUUUUGUAAACUCGUUUUCCCUACAUCAUGCAAAUGUUAUUUUUUAUUUAUAAACUUGUAAAUAUCAUUAAAGAAUGAAAUGUUCAGGGCUUCAGGCUUUACAAAAAAAUUAGACCUAUACUUUACUACCUUGCAAAAAAAAAAAAAAAAAAAAAAAACAAAGUGGCACAAAACACAUGAGAAAAAGAGGAAAUCUCAUUAUUACCAAAGUUGCAUUAGAUUUGCAAAUGUUAUUUUUAAAAUGAUAUAUGCAUAGUUCGGAGGAAGUAACCGACUUUUAAGUUUAGAAUCCUGAUCCGAUAUUAUAAAUUCAAGGUCAGCCAGAUGGAUUUUUUUUUUUUAGUUUGGUCUUAGGUUUUUCUUCUUCAUUCACAGAUUUUAAAAUUCCAAUUGAAUUUCUUUUGUCUAUAUGUAUCUUGUUGAAUCUAAACUCAAGAAAACAAAAAGUUUCGUCGAAGGUUUGAAAUAUAUUUUUAUAUGGAAAAUUAGACUUGGUUAAAACAUAAAUAUUUCAAAGAAUUUACAUCAGGAAUAUUCAAAAAUCAAAUUUAUUUUGGAACAUAAACAAGAUAUGCGUAUCAAAAUUAUGUGGAUAUGUCAAACAAGGUGUUCUUAACUUCCUAAGGCUAACAACAAAUUAAUAGGCCACAUGGACGUACGAGAGAGUAAGAAGAGUCUUUGCCAUGUGGACCGGACAUGGUGAUCAAGUGGCGAAUUAUAAAAAAUAAACAAAAUUUUUUUAAAAAAAUGGAAAUAGUGGAAAUGGUCGAAGACUAUUAAGAGUUGGAGACAUCGAAAGAACCCGACAAGUCAUAUCCUAGAUAUAAGAACCAACUAGGCAAUUACUAUAAACUAGCGUAUGGUGAAUGGUGAUUGGGUGGUCCAGGACAUAAGUUCCCAAAAAUUAUGGGUAUUGAUUCAACUUCAGAUGGUCACUAGACUUUUAAACUUUCAUUCUAAUUGUUUAUCUGCUGAAGUGUGGUUUGUGGAAAAAAUUGUAAAAAAGUCUAUUCAUAUAUGGAUUAGUCGGAUUUUACUUGGACACUAACGCUAAUGCUAAUGAAAAAAAAAAAGAAACAUAUUAGGCUAUAUAUAUAUAUAUAUAUGUAGGACUCCAAGAGAGUUAUAAGAGCAAGAUGAAUUUUUGGCAUUUAUCACUGAAAUAAAGAAAAUGGAAGAUAGUGGAGAGGUCCAAAGCAUCGUAUGGUUAUCUGGACUUGAGGAUUUUUGGGUACAAACCUACGUCCCACAUCAGAAGUAUAGAAAAACAAGUUUCUAAUAUAUAAGUAAAGUCCAACUCCAAUUAGUAUGAGGUAUUUUGGGAAGAAGCCCAAUAACAAAUCCGUGUGGACUUGAGCAUUUAGAUCCAAAGCGGACAAUAUCAUACUAUGGGGAGUUGGAUUGGGUUUGGAAAGCCCAAUAAAUGGUAUCAGAGCCUAGGUUGAAAGAUAUAGACUUAGGGGUGUGGACUAGAAUGCGGUGUGGGGAAGCCCUCAAAUGUGACACGAUAAGAAGGUGCCUCAAGAACUUCGCGAAUAAGAAAGUGCCGAGUUAGGGUGCCUAGGUUUCGCUGAAGAGGAGGCCCAAUGUUCGUGGUCCUUGGUUUGAAGGGGAGUUUGUUGGGUACAAACCAACAUCCCACAUCGGAAGUUUAGAAAAAGAAGUUUCUAAUAUAUAAAUAAAGUCCAACUCCAAUUAGUAUGAAGCCUUUUGGGAAGAAGCCCGAUAACAAAUCAGUGUGGACUUGAGCAUUUAGACUUAAAGCGGACAAUAUCAUACUAUGGGGGGUUGAAUUGGGUUUGGAAAGCCUAAUAAGGAUUAUCUGGGAAGAUCCCGACAAGUUGUAGGAUAAUUAUUAGGCCACGCGUACGAUGUCAGAAGAGUAAGAAAAGUCUUUGACAUGUGGACCUAAAAUAUGAUCAAAUGGCAAUUAAUUGAAAGAAAGAUACGGAAUGGUUGAAAUGGUCUAAAACAUCAAAUGGUUAAAUGGUUUGGAGACAUCAAAGGAAAUUGACGAGUCACACUAAACCAGCUCAACCUUCAACCGGAAACUACAAAAGGUCAAUCGACGAAUACAGUAAGCACUAGAUGAUCUAGUCUAGAUCUCCUACAACUCAACGAGAUAUCAACUCAAUUUUAAGGGUAUUAAUUUGAUAUAUAUUACCGACAACAUUUGAUCCUAAUUAUCUAAUCAAAGAACAUUUAGUUUUUAAGUUGUAUUAUUUUUCAUACUUAACGUUGGAGAAGGUUGCAAGCCACGGGCAGUCGUGGUAUCGAACGGAGGCUAGCCUGUUUCGUAUUUUCUAUCUAUUGAUCGAAUGAGGUGAGCCGUCGGUUGUGUCUCCUCACUUACAAAAAAAUUGGAAUAUCGUUUAUGCUCUGAUUACCAUGUAGUGAGCAGGGCCGGCGUAUGGGGAGUGUUUGAAGAGCAAAUGUACAGGGCCAAAUUUUUUUGAAGUAAAUUUAAGAGUCCAAAUUUAUUUUUUAGUAAAAAAAAGGGGUAAUUUUUAAGAUUUUAAGAUAUUUUUAGUAUGAAAAAAGCCUACAUAUUUUCUUUAGUAUGAAAAGGCCAAUUUUAAAGGUUUUUUAACAUGAAAAAUGCCCAUUUGUUUUUUUUGUAUGAAGAAAAGACCCAUUUUUAAAAUUUGUACAUGGACUCCAAAUUAAUUGAGCUGGAGUGAUUCUUUCUUAUUAUUUCCAAUAAAGUGUACAAAGACAUUAUAUAGCAAUUACAGCUGAAGAUUCUAGAGAAUGAUAAUUACAAGGUUUCUAUAACUGAAUCAAUAUCAAAUAUUAUAAUCAUAAAGGGGGAUCUUUGACAACAUGCAAUAAACUUUUUUUUUGUUUUUUGUGUGUGUAAAUUCACAGUAAAUUUAUUGAAUAGAAAGUAGGAAACAGACGUGCCAGACCAGGGCCGGCGCAGAGGGCAAGCCACCGAAGCCACCGAUUAGGGCCUCAAAAUUUGAGGGCCUUUUUACCUAAAAAUUUGUUAAGUUUUCUUAUAUACAAUAAUUUUUGUAGGGCCUUUUAAAAAUAUUGUGGACUUUUAGAGACAACUAUAACAUUCUUUUUAAUAGUAAAAAUCUAAUUUAAAAUAAUUUUUUUUAUGGACUUUAAUUUUGAUUAGGGCACCCAAAUUUACCGGGCCGACACUGUGCCAGACCUUAAUGGCAUAAAUUUACUGACGUGCCAUUUCAAAACAUCUGUUUAAGGAUGUCGGAAAUUGGCGAAGCGAUGAUAUUGCUAACAACCCCAAGCCCUACGUUCUUCAAGAAGCGAGCCGCUCUUUCUCUUUUAGAGUGACGCGGCUCUAGACCCUCAGUCAGCAGUGCGCAGACUGCAUGGGCAUCGAAAUCGCAAGCGUUACAACGGUAAUAGAGCCCCUGGACUGAUUUAGUGCAGAUGUCGCAAUAAUGUUCUGGUCCUUUGAAGACUAGCUGGAGCUCGUGCUGUGGAUGCAUAUAGUUGUGGAGGGUAGGAGGACACGAGGCACAGUGGUCGUGAAGAUGGUAGUCACACUUGGCGCAGUAGUACGUCUUUCCAGAGUCGAGAAGGUUGUAGCGGACCCAGCCAAAAGUUUUACCCAGUGCAAAAAAAUACACUUGUGGGGAAUUGAACCCUCAACCUCAUGGUUAUAGGGUAUAUCUUAUAACCACUGAACCAAUUGCAUCAAUGUAUAUAAUGCAAAAUCACAACAAUUUAUAUAUUACCCGGUGCAACUGCACCCCUUUCCACCAACGUGGGUCCACCCCUGGUUGCAGCCAUUGCAUUUGAAGGGACCAGAGGUAACCAACUUUAAUGGGUGGAUAUGGUUGAAGUGUUGUAGUACUUCUUGUUCUGGCUUCGACGAAGACAUUUCGUUCUUUCUUUUUUCCUUGAUAAUUGUUAAGAUUUGCGAGAGUGAGUGGUGGUUUUAUAGGCAACAAUUAUCAAGGAAGAAAAAAAAACAACCGGUUAAUAUGGUCCAUACGGACACAAUCCCAUGCAAAAUUCUAGUAGGCCAAAAUUCUUGUGGUUGACUUGAAAAAUCAACG